rnacentral:rRNA from 1 species
UGGGGAAUAUUGCACAAUGGGCGCAAGCCUGAUGCAGCCAUGCCGCGUGUGUGAAGAAGGCCUUCGGGUUGUAAAGCACUUUCAGCGAGGAGGAAGGUGGUGAACUUAAUACGUUCAUCAAUUGACGUUACUCGCAGAAGAAGCACCGGCUAACUCCGUGCCAGCAGCCGCGGUAAUACGGAGGGUGCAAGCGUUAAUCGGAAUUACUGGGCGUAAAGCGCACGCAGGCGGUUUGUUAAGUCAGAUGUGAAAUCCCCGGGCUCAACCUGGGAACUGCAUUUGAAACUGGCAAGCUAGAGUCUCGUAGAGGGGGGUAGAAUUCCAGGUGUAGCGGUGAAAUGCGUAGAGAUCUGGAGGAAUACCGGUGGCGAAGGCGGCCCCCUGGACGAAGACUGACGCUCAGGUGCGAAAAGCGUGGGGAGCAAAACAGGAUUAGAUACCCUGGUAGUCCACGCUGUAAAACGAUGUCGAUUUUGGAGGUUGUGCCCUUGAGGCGUGGCUUCCGGAGCUAACGCGUUAAAUCGACCGCCUGGGGAGUACGGCCGCAAGGUUAAAACUUAAAUGAAUUGACGGGGUC